rnacentral:piRNA from 1 species
UAAAAAUCGCCCUUCGUUUUG